rnacentral:lncRNA from 1 species
GUUUAGGGUUUAAAACCCUAAUGCUGGCUGAAUGGAAAAAAUUCAGUUUAGGGUUUAAAACCCUAAUGCUGAUUGCAUAAAAAAGCUCAGUUUAGGGUUUAAAACCCUAAUGCUGGCUGAAUGGAAAAAAAUUUCAGUUUAAGGUUUAAAACCCUAAUGCUGACUAAAGGAAAAAUUCAGUUUAGGGUUUAAAACCCUAAUGCUGAUUGCAUGGAAAAGCUCAGUUUAGGGUAUAAAACCCUAAAGCUGGCUUAAUGGAAAAAAGUUCAGUUUAGGGUUUAAAACCUUAAUGCUGAUUAAAGGAAAAUUCAGUUUAGGGUUUAAAACCCUAAUGCUGACUGGCUGGGGACAAAGUUCGAGAAUGCUAAACGAUCUUUUUUUUUGUUUUAGUAGAAGAUAAAAGGGGGUUUCGUGGAAACUUACCUUUCGAGUGAAUUCAUCAUUGCCAAAGUAUUUCUUGUACCCGUGUACCUUCCUCUUUUUGCGACACCUGCUUCUUGCACGGUUGUCUUGGAUUAUACCUUUUUCAACUUU